GUGAAUUCAGCAAGAGUUUUCCAAAAAAUUGUAAAAGUGGGUUCAGCGUGAGUUUGUCAACAAAUUUCCUAUUUCCAUAUCGUCAUAGCCCUUCGUAUUUGACCUCAUACAGUUUCUUUUAGUCGUCGCCUCAUCGAUAUCUAACAUUCAAUUCUACGCUAGACAUUAUGAUAUACUGAUAAGAAUUGCACCUAAAGGAUUACAUGUUAAAAACGGCAUAGUGUUUUCCGGUCUCAUUCUGAGCAUUCUACACAUGGCUAGUGGGAUCUACGACAUCAUCUUCUUCUUUAAGCGAAUUGAGUUUGUAAAAGCAACCGGAGACGAUGACGAGGAAAAUCCAAUGGUAUCAUAGUGACCCCCCCCCCCGAGAAAAAACAUGCUUUGUUAAUGCACCUGGUACAAGCCAGUUUAAAAGCCACCAUCGUCUAUAAUAUCUCUAAAUGCAAAGAAAGCAU